CAAGGUAUAGCUAAAUAUAACAAAGCAUCUCCCUUACACCGAGAAGUUAUCCGUGUAAACCGGAUUACCUUGA
ensembl:Mt_tRNA